GUCGCCUAACUCUUUUUCUCUAAAAUCUCAUCAUCUUUUCUUCAUCUCUUCUCACUCCCUUUGCCUCCAAACACUAUUUCUUCUUUUAAACAAACUCUUCUCCCCUUUUUUUUUCUCUUUCUCUUUCACUAUUUUCUCUCUCUUUCUCUACCUAAGAAAAGUGCAUCCAAAAAGCAAACUUUUGCCUAAUUCAAUAAAACAUCCAAGGAGUGGGAGUUCUUCAUCUCAAGCCCUUUAUUCAGUCGCACCAUUGGUUUUUUUCAACCACAAUCAUCCAUCCAUGCAAUUUAGCGAUAACGUCUCUUGAGCACGGUUUGAAAAUUUAGCCAACAAGAAAUUUUGCCUAACUUGUCACCUUGAUUGGGAGUUUAUGCAUUCUAUUAGUUUUAAGGAGCAACUUAGAGGAUAGGUGAACCAACUGGCAUUGGAAAAAAAAAUUUGAGAUUUCGAAGCCUGCUUAUAGAGAAAUCACCCUUAAUUCUUGUGUACGCUAUGUUUUGAGGUUGGCUCACGGAUUGAUCGUACGGUAAAACAGUGAAGUUUCAAUUGGGAAGAAAAUAUUUUGACAUGUCGAUGAAUGAGUUCGCCAUUGCUAUGGGUAUCUACACUGAGGAAGAAGUGAAAUCUGAUGAAUAUAGGCAUGCACCUUUCAGGUUCUUCGGAAAUCGCACUCCGAAAGUGGUCUCGGCAAAUUUGGAGCCCAAUGCACCUAGAUGAGGGUAUAUGGUACAAUGUGGCUUUGAGUUUA